ACGGAAGGCAGCAGUGGGGAGUAUUGGGCAAUGGGCGAAAGCCUGACCCAGCAACGCCGCGUGAAGGAAGAAGGUCUUCGGAUUGUAAACUUCUUUUAUGAGGGACGAAGGACGUGACGGUACCUCAUGAAUAAGCCACGGCUAACUACGUGCCAGCAGCCGCGGUAAUACGUCGGUGGCAAGCGUUAUCCGGAUUUACUGGUGUAAAGGGCGCGUAGGCGGGGAUGCAAGUCAGAUGUGAAAUCUAUGGGCUUAACUCAUAAACUGCAUUUGAAACUGUAUCUCUUGAGUGCUGGAGAGGUAGACGGGAUUCCUAGUGUAGCGGUGAAAUGCGUAGAUAUUAGGAAGAACACCAGUGGCGAAGGCGGUCGACUGGACAGUAGCUGACGCUGAGGCGCGAAAGCGUGGGGAGCAAACAGGAUUAGAUACCCUGGUA
rnacentral:rRNA from 1 species